rnacentral:misc_RNA from 1 species
CAUGCGCAUGCGCAAACAGACAUGGGUUCUUUGAUGCUCCGAAGAUUAUUUUAAGAAAAAUUCUUUAAUCCUAAUCCCGUUCAUCGCAGAAAUCGUCCACUUUGUACGUCAUGAACAUCAGAUGACAUUGAGAGAAGAGAAUCGUUAACUUCAGAAGCAUCACCAUUACCAUCUUCUCAAGAUUAAAGGAAAAUGUUGUGCAGAAGAAACAUAAAACCCUUUUUUAUGUAAACGGAUGGUAAACUGUUUCUUUAGUCCUGUGAUUCCUAGAAAAUUUCUCUUUUCCAAAUAGGGAUAAAUUUACAAAGCAAUUUGCACCAUCUUUGGAUAUUGACAGAUCACAAAUGAUGGCAAUAUAGCAAAAGAAAUAUUUGUUACCAACGAACUAUAAAAACAGAAAUAAGAAAACUGCUAAUUUAUUAUGGUGAGAGAAAAAAUAUCGAAACAAUAUUUGAGACACAUAACCCUUUAGGUGGUUUAAACCAGCCAUAUCUGGCCCCAAAUAGUCUACCUGUUUUAGAUUAGCCUCUAUCACCCAAAAAUAAACACACACGUCAUUGAAAUUUUGAAGCUACAAUAUAAUGCAUGAUUAAUUCAAAAUUGAAUAAAUAAGCAUUGCAUUUGACAAAGUAAUCUGAAUAUUAAUGGGUUAAAAGAAUGAGUGUUUUUGUAAAAACAUGGCAAAAACAAUGCAAAAAUUAUACACCUGCAAUAUCUGUAAAAAGUCCUUUUCUAAGGCCGUUACACUCACCAAACACCGAUGCCAUUACUGCAACAUAUGUGGUAAAUCAUUCUCGCGUGCAGAUAGUUUAGCUUCACACAAAUAUAGCCACACGGGAGAAAAGAAACCAUAUAGUUGUGACAUCUGUGGUAAAUCCUUUUCUCAUAAACAUCAUUUAGCUAGACACAACUAUGUUCAUACUGGAGCAAAGCCACAUCAUUGUGAUAUCUGUGGUAAUUCAUUCUCCGAUGGGAGUACUUUAACUAAACACAAACGUAUUCAUACAGGGGAGAAACCGUAUCGCUGUGAUAUCUGUGGUAUAUCAUUCUCUCAGAUUAUUCACUUAACUAGACAUAUAACUAGUCACACAGGAGAAAAACCCUAUAAAUGUGAUGUCUGUAAUAAAUUAUUCUCUCAAGCAUAUACUUUAGCACAACAUGUACGAACCCAUACUGGUGAAAAACCAUAUCACUGUGACAUUUGUGGUGAAUCAUUCUGCCAAAACAACCUCUUAGCUGCUCAUAAGUAUAUUCAUACAGGAAAGAAACCAUAUUACUGUGAUAUUUGUGGUGAUGGAUUUUCUCAAAAAUGUGCUUUAGUUGCUCAUGGAUAUGUUCAUACAGGAGAGAAACCUUACCACUGUCAUGUUUGCGGUGAUGGCUUUUCUGAAAGAAGUGCCUUGAAUGCGCAUGCUUAUGUUCAUACAGGAGGGAAACCUUAUCACUGUGAUAUGUGUGGGAAAUCUUUCUUCUUCAGGGGUUCCUUUACCAAACAUAAACUGAUCCAUACUGGAGAAAAACCAUUUCACUGUAACAUUUGCGGUCAGUCAUUCUCUGAUAAAAGUGUCUUCAGUGAUCACAAACAGAUCCACACUAAAGGGAAGCCACAUCAAUGUGAUAUCUGCGGUAAAUCGUUCUCUCAAAGUAGAGCUUUAACCAAUCACAUACGCAGUCAUACAGGAGAGAAACCAUAUCGCUGUGAUGUCUGUGGUAAAUCAUUCUCUGUAAGAAGUUCCUUGAAAAAACACUCGCGCAUUCACACAGGAGAGAAACCAUAUCAGUGCGAUAUUUGUGGUUAUUCAUCUACUAUUGAAAGUAACAUAAUUCAACACAAACGUAUUCACACAGGAGAGAAGCCACAUCGCUGUGAUAUCUGUGGUAAAUCGUUUUCCAUUGCUAGUAACUUAAAUAGACAUAUGUACAUUCAUACAGGAGAUUCACCAUAUAAUUGUGAUAUUUGUGGUAAAACAUUCACUGUAAGUAGUAACUUGAAAGUUCAUAAACGUACUCAUACAGGCGAGAAACCUUUUCACUGUGACAUUUGUGGUAAAUCGUUCUCAGAAAAUCGGUUCUUAAAAAAACACAAGCUUAAUCACACAGGAGAACAUCCAUACCACUGUAAUAUCUGUGGUAAAUCAUUCUCAGAAAAUCGUUUCUUAAAAAAACACAAGCUUUAUCAUACAGGUGAGAAACCAUAUCAAUGUGAUAUCUGCCAUGAAUCAUUCUUUGAAAAUUGUUUGUUAAAAAACCACAGACUUAGACACACUGGAGAACCACUGUGUUUGUAGGAAAUCCUUUUCCCACUGAAAUACUUCAACAAAACAUUCAUCCUGGAUCAACUGUUGUAAAUCACUCUCUUGGGGAAAGGCUGUAUCACUCAGAUGUCUUUGAUUAAUCCUUCUCUGAUGGAGAUAUCUUCACCAGACAUGAAGAGAAACCAUGACACUGUGAUAUUUGUGGUAAAGCAUACUCAAGAGAUAGUCACUCAACUACACAACAUCUUAUAUUCAU